rnacentral:rRNA from 1 species
GACGAACCGUGCGAACGUUGUUCGGAUUCACUGGGCUUAAAGGGCGCGUAGGCGGGCCGUCAAGUCUGUGGUGAAAGCCCCCGGCUUAACCGGGGAAGUGCCGCGGAUACUGGCGGUCUCGAGGGGUGCAGGGGCAUGUGGAACUUCCGGUGGAGCGGUGAAAUGCGUAGAUAUCGGAAGGAACGCCGGUGGCGAAAGCGACGUGCUGGACACCUGACUGACGCUGAGGCGCGAAAGCCAGGGGAGCAAACGGGA